UACAGAGGUCCCAAGCGUUGUUCGGAUUCAUUGGGCGUAAAGGGUGCGUAGGCGGCGCGGUAAGUCGGGGGUGAAAUCUCGGGGCUUAACUCCGAAACUGCAUUCGAUACUGCCGUGCUUGAGGACUGGAGAGGAGACUGGAAUUUACGGUGUAGCGGUGAAAUGCGUAGAUAUCGUAAGGAAGACCAGUGGCGAAGGCGGGUCUCUGGACAGUUCCUGACGCUGAGGCACGAAGGUCAGGGGAGCAAACGGG
rnacentral:rRNA from 1 species